GCCGGGCAUAGUGGCGCAUGCCUGUAAUCCCAGCUACUCGGGAGGCUGAGGCAGAAGAAUCGUUUGAACCCGGGAGGCGGAAUUUGCAGUGAGCCAAGAUCAUGCCACUGAACUCUAGCCUGGGUGACAGAGUGAGACUCUGUCUCAA
rnacentral:SRP_RNA from 2 species